rnacentral:lncRNA from 1 species
CUUAAGUUUAGAACAUUGAUGACACACGCCUUUAAUCCCACCACUCGGGAAUAAGAGGCAGAUGGAUCUUUAUGAGUUCAAGGCCUGCCUGGUCCGGCAGAUCGAAUUCCAGGACAGGCUCCAAAGUCACAGAAAAACCCUGCCUAAGAAAGAAGUUAAGCUACUGUUUAAGGAAUAUAAGGUAGCUCUAUGCAGUUUUAAGUUCAGCUGUGCUGUUUCAAACAUCUUACUAAGUUAAAACCAGUUACAGUCAGACUAAAAAUUAUUUACAGAAAUAAGACCUUACCUAGCCACCUGUAUACUUAAUGUGUGCUUAAGGCAAAUAAUUAAAACAGACAAACAGACCUCUAAUGCUUCAGAGAUCUUCAGAAUAUGGCAUUUAAAUUGUUAUCUUUAAAGUUUAUAAUGUCAGACAGACUGCCAGAUCCUGACAGUGACCCAAAGUCUCCAAAAAAAAAAAAAAAAAGAUUACGAGGCACCUCAGUUCCCGCACCUGGACCAGUGAGCGAGAUGCUCAGAUGUGAAACCUGCCGCCUGCCAGAACCUGGCCGAGACUGUGGACAAAGCUGCUGGACACUGGAAAAUUGAUUGUACCCCUUUGCCUUGACAAAACAAGGUCAGUCUUUUCCAUGUCCCUCUUCCACAGAGAGGAAAAAAAAAAUCUCUCACAGUAUAGGCCUGGCGAAGAUUGCUGUUCUUUGAGACAGCUGCCUCCAACGGUUUCUGCUUCUGACAGACAUCUGAGUAUCAAUUGCUGACUACUGGCUGUUCUAAGUAGACUGCAAGCCCUGGACUUGCUAUGGAUGUUAACCAGUCCAGCUGAUAUGGACACCCCCUGUCUCUGCAACAAUGCCUGCUAACCAGAAGCCCCUGAUGGAUUCCCCAUUGCCUAAAUUCCUUUUUGCUUUUGACUAGCAUUUCAACCUUCUGGGGUCCCUAACUUCGUCCCAAAGUCAGCAGGAAGCAGUUUGGAAAAGAAUUUUGCCGUCCAUUUUCCCUGGUUAAAAUGCUAAGUCAAAAGGAACUCCCUUCCAUGGGGAUUCGAAACGACAGGGGAUGCUCACUGGAAGCCUUCAU